rnacentral:misc_RNA from 1 species
CUUGUCCCAACAGAACUUUCCCUUAGCAGGGCCAGAAGAAAAAUUGAUGUGGCAUACCCCUCCAAACUCUGGCAUGUUAUCUUCAGCUGAAGGACAUUUUCCAUGGUCAUUUGCAUGAUCAACUUCAACUUGCUCAAUAUUUCCACCAUCUCCAACUGUUAUGUGAACAGGACCGCAGUGGUCCAAUGAAUAAUUAUAGACUCUAUUCAUCCGCUCGUAAGCAUGCACAUGACCAGAAAAAACAAUGUCAACACGGUAUUGAUA